AUUGAACGCUGGCGGCAGGCCUAACACAUGCAAGUCGAGCGAGCGGCGGACGGGUGAGUAAUGUAUGGGGACUGCCCGAUAGAGGGGGAUAACUACUGGAAACGGUAGCUAAUACCGCAUACUACCGUAUUACCCAUAUGGGAUUAGCUAGUAGGUGAGGUAAUGGCUCACCUAGGCGACGAUCCCUAGCUGGUCUGAGAGGAUGAGCAGCAACACUGGGACUGAGACACGGCCCAGACUCCUACGGAGGCAGCAGUGGGGAAUAUUGCGCAAUGGGCGCAAGCCUGAUGCAGCCAUGCCGCGUGUAUGAAGAAGGUCCUAGGGUUGUAAAGGUCUUUCAGUCGGGAGGCGUUACCGAAAGAAGAAGCACCGGCUAACUCCGUGCCAGCAGCCGCGGUAAUUC
rnacentral:rRNA from 1 species